rnacentral:rRNA from 1 species
UACGUAGGGUGCAAGCGUUAAUCGGAAUUACUGGGCGUAAAGCGUGCGCAGGCGGUGAUGUAAGACAGUUGUGAAAUCCCCGGGCUCAACCUGGGAACUGCAUCUGUGACUGCAUCGCUGGAGUGCGGCAGAGGGGGGUGGAAUUCCGCGUGUAGCAGUGAAAUGCGUAGAGAUGCGGAGGAACACCGAUGGCGAAGGCAGCCCCCUGGGCUGACACUGACGCCUCAGGCACGAAAGCGUGGGGAGCAAACAGG